rnacentral:tRNA from 1 species
GGGGUUAUAGCUCAGUGGUAGAGUGCAUGCUUAGCAUGCACAAGGUCCUGGGUUCAAUCCCAGUACCUCUA